AAACUGAAAAAAACUCGUUUUCGAUCCUUUAAUUGCAUAAUAAUUAUUACAACAAGCCACUGCACAUUUCAUUUUAAGAAAUUUAUAUAUUUAUGCUUAGAAAUUUAAAUAAAUACAACAAACAGUACACUUACACUGGUUUUCUUCAUUUGAACAAUUUCCACACAUGCUACUCUAUUUAUUGUGGAUGUGCCUAAAACUAAUUAUAUACAUAUUUUCUCGCAACAAUAUUCUAAACAUUCUACUGAAAUAUUUCCUGCAAAGACGAAUGAAUUAAUAUUAUUUUGGGAAUUUCAAAAAGUGUUUACUUUUCUGUUUACAAUUUGUAUGCAAGAAUGAUAGAAAUAAGAUUGCGCAAUGCGCAUGUUUGCUUUCAGUCAGCUGUUCUUGGUGACGUCACGGUUGACUUAUUAUUCGCGCGCGCCUUUGAAUGUGAAAGAAAUUUGCAGUUUGAAAUGGGUUUAAGUUCGCGGAGUCUAACAAAGUUGCUACCUAGCGCUUUUCUCACGUUAACCAGAUUAACUCCUGCAGAGGCUAAUGAACGGCAGAAAAGGAUGGAGUCUCGUUUAAACCACUGUUUCUUAUCCUAAUUGCAAUAUUUUUCAACGUGUGUCAGUUGAUCUAAAUUCCACUGACCCAAUUGAAAAAAAUGAUGACUUGAAGAUUCUCAACAACGACGGGCUUGAAAAUUUGGCUGGGUACAUCUGCCACAAACUUAGUAAAGACAACCCCGAAAUUUGUGCCAAUUCAGAAAAUUGAUCGUCUUAUACCUGGGUGGAUCACCUUUCUGAAGGAGGACUCUCAAAACCAACAGAUAUGUUGAUGGAGCAUAUGAGGCUGCGUGAGACAAUAGGCUUUUUACCUCCAACAAAAAAGCCGAAAAAUGUUACCAAAAUGGAUCAGCCCACCUACAGCGAGACAGCGAAAUUAAUGCAAGCCAAUACAACGGUUAGACCCAACGCAAGCGAAGCUUGGGUGGACGUUGUUAAGAAGCGAAGACCACUCGAA